UCUUCGGUGCUCAGCCUUCUUCACAGUCCAACUCUCACAUCCAUACAUGACCACAGGAAAAACCAUAGCCUUGAUUAGAUGGACGUUUGUUAUCUUGGUGACUGUGAAAAGUCAACUGUACUGAGUCCAGGUCUAGGAACCUUACUUAGAGAGGAUUUGUUCACCAACUUGAGAACAUGGGAAGGUUAACCUCUGUGUCCACCCCUGCAUUAAUCUAUCUAUUCACUUGUUUGUUUAUUUAAUUCACCAACAGUACGUUGUGGGAUUGUCUGCUAUGAGAAGCAGCUGAGGGAACUUCAGCUGUACCACCCAAAGAGAAGAUUUAAAGGGGCCAUGAGAGCUGUUUUCAAGGGUAUGACGAAGGAGGAGGCUUAUCUGUGUUUUUCCAGAGGGCACAAGUAGGGAAAGUGAGUUGAUGAUAAAGGGUGUCAGACUUGGGCAUAAAUUAUAGAAGAAACUUUUGACUUUGGAAUGAGCUGCCCGACAAUGGAAUGUACUGCCUUGCAAAACAGUGAUCUUCCAGCCAGUCAAGGGACCUGCCAAAGCACAGAUAAGGAAGAUGGGGCCCAGAAAGAUGAAAUAACCUGGAUAAAAAUGCAUAGCCAGUUAGUGUAGGGGGUCUGGCUUGGCACCCAGAAUUCAAGUCAGCCCAAGCCAGUCAACCCUUGGCAUGCAAUGAUUUAACUUUGUUCUUUCAACCUCAAAGCUCCAUGGUUGUCGUAAUUUAUAAUUUUGAUGAAACACACGCUCCAAGGCUAGCGUGUGGGAGUGAGUCCCUGAGCUCGCAAGCAAAUACUCACAUCUCCAAGAGACUUUGAAGUGCUCUGCUUGUAGAGGACACAGUCAUUCUGGUGAUAUAUUACAACUUCUUUCUCAUGAUGGAAAGUAGUUAAUGGGCAAAUGAGCAAAAAAAUAAAGUAAUGAGCAAAAAUACAGAGAUAACCUAGAAAGUGAAGGUUCCUAUCACAAAUAAAAUUUCAGAUAAACUUGAGUGUCCUGGCAUGUGAAAUUGGGAGGUGACGCGGAUGGUGAAAUUGUUUCACAGAAUGUUCCACAGUUUUGGCAAUGGGCCACAGAAGUGUUGGGAAAAUGUUCAAGAAGAACAAGGGUAUUCUGUCUUCAUUCCAUUGUAUUCCACAGUCUCCCUUGAUCCUUUGCUGUAAAUCACUUGAAUGACUUUGGUCAUGAGGAAGGAGAGAGAGAGAGGAUCCAUAAUGAAUCUUACUAUUCAGGCAGGGAAUUGCAUAUUGCCUGUCCUGUACUUCCAGGCGGGCCGGGGGAGGACCUGGCUCUGUGUGACUCAGAUGUUCCAGGUUGAUGUAAGACCAAAUACAGUCCCCCAGUACAGCCACCGAGUUGAAGAUGUCCAUGCCUUCCUCUUCAAGGAAUGCUCCUAUUCCUGUCAGCUCUGGGCCUGAGAGCAUUGUUUCAGAGAUAACCACUCUCACCUUUCCCCAGGAUAUCAAUAGAUUUGAAUCCUGAAGACAGAACAGGACUUUUGGGGAAUGCCUCAGCCCCCCAAGUUUUCCUAACGUAGGAGUUCUCAAAGUGCAAUCUCUGGACCAGCAGCAUCUGCAUCCCUUGUUAGUACUUAAUAGAUCUACAGCUGGAACUUGUUAGAAAUGCAAAUUUCCACUCUCCUCCCCGAACCUCAGAAGCGCUGAACGGUAAACUCUGAGGGUAGGAGCAUGUGUGCAUGCUCAGAUGCUUCAGUCAUGUCUGACUCUUUGUGACCCUAUGGACUGUAGCCCACCAGGCUCCUCCAUGGGAUUCUCCAGGCAAGAAUACUAGAGUGGGUUGCCAUUUCCUCCUCCAGGGGAUCUCUCCAACCCAAGGAUUGAACCUGCGUCGCCUGUGUCUCCUGCUUUGCAGGCAGAUUCUUUACCCACUGAGCCACCUGGGAAACCCUGGGGGUAGGCGGGGUCUUAGCAAUUAGUGUUUUGACAAGCUCUGCCAGUGAUACUGAUGGGUGCUGGAGACUGAGGACCGAGAGAAGACAUUCAGGAGUGGGAAGAGUGGCUUGGGUUUAAUGGUUGGUUCAAAGUCCAGCCUUGACUUCCCAACCUCCUUCUCCCCUGAAAAGGAGAGAGCUCACGGAAGCCAACGCUGACCCAUGUCAUCUCUGCAUCCAGAAUCUACGAGUUAUGCUGGGAUUUCCUGGAAGACAGAGCACUGGAUAUAAAUGACUUCAAGGCCUUGGGAUGGCAGAACUCCCAGAUGGAAGAAAUGUGCAUGUCUGAAUCAUGGUGUGGAGGAUCAUUUGCCAGCUAGGAACAAGCAUUGUAAAAGUUACCUGGAAGAAAUACACAUCUUUUGUGUUUGAGCUUUCAAAAACUCAAGGUUUAUUUGUUAUAGCAGCUAGCAUUCCCCUAAUGAAUAUAGUCAUUCAUUCAUUUGGAAA